rnacentral:rRNA from 1 species
AGUGAACGCUGGCGGUAGGCCUAACACAUGCAAGUCGAACGGCAGCACAGUAAGAGCUUGCUCUUACGGGUGGCGAGUGGCGGACGGGUGAGGAAUACAUCGGAAUCUACUUUUUCGUGGGGGAUAACGUAGGGAAACUUACGCUAAUACCGCAUACGACCUACGGCUGAAAGCAGGGGAUCUUCGGACCUUGCGCGAUUGAAUGAGCCGAUGUCGGAUUAGCUAGUUGGCGGGGUAAAGGCCCACCAAGGCGACGAUCCGUAGCUGGUCUGAGAGGAUGAUCAGCCACACUGGAACUGAGACACGGUCCAGACUCCUACGGGGGGCAGCAGUGGGGAAUAUUGGACAAAGGGCGCAAGCCUGAUCCAGCCAUACCGCGUGGGUGAAGAAGGCCUUCGGGUUGUAAAGCCCUUUUGUUGGGAAAGAAAAGCAGCAGGUUAAUACCCCGCUGUUCUGACGGUACCCAAAGAAUAAGCACCGGCUAACUUCGUG